rnacentral:piRNA from 1 species
UGGUGACAGAUCGCUGGAUUCUAAUAGC